ACUCUGCACGGAGCCGGUGAUGGGUGUGGCGAAAUGGAUGUGCUGAAAGGGAAGAUUCUGAGUUUAAUGUACUUUUUUGAGACGGAGUUUCGCUCCUGUUGUCCGGGCUGGAGUGCAAUGGCGUGCGCGACCUCGGCUCAUUGCAACCCCCGCCUCUCGGGUUCAGGCGAUUCACCUGCCUCAGCCUCUGGAGUAGCUGGGAUUACAGGCGCCCACCACCAUUCGCUGCUAGUUUUUUGUAUUUUUAGUAGAAACGGGAUAUUUCACCAUAUUGGCCAUGCUGGUCUUGAACUCCUGGUCUCAGGCUAUCCACCCGCCUCGGCCUCCCAAAGUGCUGGAUUAUAGGCGUGAGCCACCGCGCCCGGCCUAGUUUUUAAAAGCCACAUCAGAAAUCACUGAUUUUAUUUUUAUUUAUUUUUAUUUUUUGAGACGGGGUCUCGCCCUGUCUCCCAAGCUGGAGUGCAGUGGCGCGAUCUCGGCUCACUGCAGCCUCAACCUCCGGGGCUCAAGCAGUUCUUCCACCUCAGCCUCCUGAGUAGCUGGGACCACAGGCGAGUGCCUCCAGGACCAGCUAAUUAAAAAAAAGUCUUUGUGUGGAGACAGAGUGGCGGGCUUGGGGGGGGCGGUGUGUCUCCCUGUGUCGCCUGGGCUGGUCUCGAACUCCUGGACUCAAGCAUUCCUCCCUCCGAGGCCUCCCACAGUGCCGGGAUUACAGGCAUCAACCACUGUUUGUUUUCAAAUUACUUUUUGUAAAGGCAAAACAAAUCGAACGUCUUGUGUAAGAAUGGUUUUAAUGAGGCAUAUUUAGACGGAAUAAGAAGGUAACAAAUGCUGAACACUUAAUUGUCAUGGGCUUUUACCUCAUUUAAUGGUCCAAUUUGCUGACUAGGUUUAGUCCAACUUAGGCCUUUAGGAUUUCUGAGACUAGGGCUAUUCAUGCUUCCCCUAGCUGAUGUUCCAUUUCAUUCAUUAAAUGAAAAUUUUUGUUUCCCACCGUGUGCCAGGCACAGACACUUGCGGGUACAACAUGGAAUAGAACUGUCCCAAAAGAGGUUAUAUUCUAGUGGGGGAAGGACAGAUAAUAAGCAACUAAUAAAAUAUUACAACAAGUAUUCUGUGAGUAAUUAAAACAAGGUGGUGUAAUAAGUUAUUAGGUGCAACUUUAGAUUGCCUGUCAGAGUAGACCUCUGAGGAAGUGACAUUCAGACAGAGGUCUAAAUUACAAGCUGCCAUCCCUGGGAAUGUCUUCUGAAGAGGUUUAGGAGAAGACAGGAUGCGCAGUUGGGUUUGCUGCAAUAUGGUGAGGGCAGGGGAGGGAGGAGUGGUACAGGAUGAAUCUUGAGAGAGAGGGGCUGGAUCAUGUGAGGCUGAUCAUGUGAGGGGAUUGGGAAAGUGUGGAAUGAUUUAAGGCAGAGAAAUGUCAUGAGUUGAAAUAAAAUUUUAAAAAGGAUUACUUAGUAUCCUGAUGUGAGUGGUGGUUACAUGGGUGUAUAUCUAGAAUUCGUAUACUUAAGAUUUGUGAAUACUUAAGAUUUGUGUACUUUAUGUAAGUCACGCGUUAAUUAGAAAAAAAGAGAUUACUCAGGCUACUGAAUGGAGAGUGCAAUUGUCAGAGGUGUUUGAACCGGAGCAACUCCUUGAAUAGGGCUGGGUAAAAUAAGUCUGAGACCUACUGGGCUGCAUUCCCAGAAUGUUAGGCAUUCUUAAUCACAGGAUGA
rnacentral:lncRNA from 10 species